rnacentral:rRNA from 1 species
AGAGUUUGAUCCUGGCUCAGGAUGAACGCUGGCGGCGUGCCUAACACAUGCAAGUCGAGCGAUUCUCUUCGGAGAAGAGCGGCGGACGGGUGAGUAACGCGUGGGUAACCUGCCCUGUACACACGGAUAACAUACCGAAAGGUAUGCUAAUACGAGAUAAUAUGCUUUUAUCGCAUGGUAGAAGUAUCAAAGCUUUUGCGGUACAGGAUGGACCCGCGUCUGAUUAGCUAGUUGGUAAGGUAACGGCUUACCAAGGCGACGAUCAGUAGCCGACCUGAGAGGGUGAUCGGCCACAUUGGAACUGAGACACGGUCCAAACUCCUACGGGAGGCAGCAGUGGGGAAUAUUGCACAAUGGGCGAAAGCCUGAUGCAGCAACGCCGCGUGAGCGAUGAAGGCCUUCGGGUCGUAAAGCUCUGUCCUCAAGGAAGAUAAUGACGGUACUUGAGGAGGAAGCCCCGGCUAACUACGUGCCAGCAGCCGCGGUAAUACGUAGGGGGCUAGCGUUAUCCGGAAUUACUGGGCGUAAAGGGUGCGUAGGUGGUUUCUUAAGUCAGAGGUGAAAGGCUACGGCUCAACCGUAGUAAGCCUUUGAAACUGGGAAACUUGAGUGCAGGAGAGGAGAGUGGAAUUCCUAGUGUAGCGGUGAAAUGCGUAGAUAUUAGGAGGAACACCGGUUGCGAAGGCGGCUCUCUGGACUGUAACUGACACUGAGGCACGAAAGCGUGGGGAGCAAACAGGAUUAGAUACCCUGGUAGUCCACGCCGUAAACGAUGAGUACUAGCUGUCGGAGGUUACCCCCUUCGGUGGCGCAGCUAACGCAUUAAGUACUCCGCCUGGGAAGUACGCUCGCAAGAGUGAAACUCAAAGGAAUUGACGG